rnacentral:rRNA from 1 species
GACGAACGCUGGCGGCGUGCUUAACACAUGCAAGUCGAACGGUAAGGCCCUUCGGGGUACACGAGUGGCGAACGGGUGAGUAACACGUGGGUGAUCUGCCCUGCACUUCGGGAUAAGCCUGGGAAACUGGGUCUAAUACCGGAUAGGACCACUGCCUGCAUGGGUGGUGGUGGAAAGCUUUUGCGGUGUGGGAUGGGCCCGCGGCCUAUCAGCUUGUUGGUGGGGUGAUGGCCUACCAAGGCGACGACGGGUAGCCGGCCUGAGAGGGUAACCGGUCACACUGGGACUGAGAUACGGCCCAGACUCCUACGGGAGGCAGCAGUGGGGAAUAUUGCACAAUGGGCGCAAGCCUGAUGCAGCGACGCCGCGUGAGGGAUGACGGCCUUCGGGUUGUAAACCUCUUUCAGCUAUGACGAAGCGCAAGUGACGGUAGUAGCAGAAGAAGGACCGGCCAACUACGUGCCAGCCGCCGCAGUAA